rnacentral:rRNA from 1 species
CCUACGGGUGGCAGCAGUGAGGAAUAUUGGUCAAUGGACGCAAGUCUGAACCAGCCAUGCCGCGUGCAGGACGACUGCUCUAUGAGUUGUAAACUGCUUUUGUACGAAGGUUAACGCCGAUGUGCGUAUCUUUCUGCCAUUAUCUUACGAAGCAGGAUCGGCUAACUCCGUGCCAGCUGCCGCGGUAAGACGGAGGAUUCAAGCGUUAUCCGGAUUUAUUGGGUGUAGAGGUUGCGUAGGCGGUCGGAUAAGUUAGAUGUGAAAUCCCGAGGCUCAACUUCUGAAUUGCCUCUGAUACUGUUCGGCUAGAGAGUAGUUGCGGUAGGCGGAAUGUAUGGUGUAGCGGUGAAAUGCGUAGAGAUCAUACAGAACACCGAUUGCGAAGGCAGCUUACCAAGCUACUUCUGACGUUGAGGCACGAAAGCGUGGGGAGCAAACAGGAUUAGAUACCCGAGUAGUC